rnacentral:rRNA from 1 species
GUGUUUCUUACCGGAGGUAGAGCUACUGGAUGGCUAAUGGGCCCUACAAGGUUACUGACGUCAGCCAAACUCCGAAUGCCGGUAAGUGAGAGCGCAGCAGUGAGACUGUGGGGGAUAAGCUUCAUAGUCGAGAGGGAAACAGCCCAGACCACCAACUAAGGCCCCUAAGCGUGUGCUAAGUGGGAAAGGAUGUGGAGUUGCGAAGACAACCAGGAGGUUGGCUUAGAAGCAGCCAUCCUUGAAAGAGUGCGUAAUAGCUCACUGGUCAAGUGAUUCCGCGCCGACAAUGUAGCGGGGCUCAAGUACACCGCCGAAGUUGUGGAUUUCAGAUAUUAGCUAAGCCGGAGACUUGUUCUCCUGAGUUCAGGCGUCUGGAGUGGUAGGGGAGCGUCGUGUGGGCGGUGAAGUCGCGGUGUAAACCAGCGGUGGAGCCUACACGAGUGAGAAUGCAGGCAUGAGUAGCGAAAGACGGGUGAGAAACCCGUCCGCCGAAUGAUCAAGGGUUCCAGGGUCAAGCUAAUCUGCCCUGGGUAAGUCGGGACCUAAGGCGAGGCCGACAGGCGUAGUCGAUGGACAACGGGUUGAUAUUCCCGUACCGGCGAAAAACCGCCCAUACUGAGCAGGGGAUACUAACCGCCCAAUACCUGACUGCCCACCCUUUUAGGGUGACGUGGUUUUUGGUGGAGCGCGGGACCUGAUCCUGGGAGGUAAGCGUAUUAACAGGUGUGACGCAGGAAGGUAGCCGGGCCGGGCGAUGGUUGCCCCGGUCUAAGGAUGUAGGAGGGACCAUAGGCAAAUCCGUGGUCCUGGUUUUGAUACCGUCUCUGAGACCCGAUGGGCCCCGUUAUGCGGGGAUCCGGUGAUCCUAUGCUGCCUAGAAAAGCAUCGGCGCGAGGUUUUAGCCGCCCGUACCCCAAACCGACACAGGUGAUCAGGUAGAGAAUACUAAGGCGAUCGAGAGAAUUAUGGUUAAGGAACUCGGCAAAAUGCCCCCGUAACUUCGGGAGAAGGGGGGCCUCACCCGUGACCGACACUUGCUGUUGUGAGCGUUGUGGGGCCGCAGAGACCAGGGGGAAGCGACUGUUUACUAAAAACACAGGUCCGUGCGAAGUCGCAAGACGAUGUAUACGGACUGACUCCUGCCCGGUGCUGGAAGGUUAAGAGGACCGGUUAGUGCCCUUCGGGGUGCGAAGCUGGGAAUUUAAGCCCCAGUAAACGGCGGUGGUAACUAUAACCAUCCUAAGGUAGCGAAAUUCCUUGUCGGGUAAGUUCCGACCUGCACGAAUGGAGUAACGACUUCCCCGCUGUCUCAACCAUAAGCUCGGCGAAAUUGCACUACGAGUAAAGAUGCUCGUUACGCGCAGCAGGACGGAAAGACCCCGAGACCUUCACUAUAGUUUGGUAUUGGUGUUCGGUGUGGCUUGUGUAGGAUAGGUGGGAGACUGUGAACCCUGGACGCUAGUUCAGGGGGAGUCAUCGUUGAAAUACCACUCUGGUCAUACUGGAUAUCUAACUUCGGCCCGUAAUCCGGGUCAGGGACAGUGCCUGAUGGGUAGUUUAACUGGGGCGGUUGCCUCCUAAAAAGUAACGGAGGCGCCCAAAGGUUCCCUCAGCCUGGUUGGCAAUCAGGUGUCGAGUGUAAGUGCACAAGGGAGCUUGACUGUGAGAGAGACAUCUCAAGCAGGGACGAAAGUCGGGACUAGUGAUCCGGCGGUACAUUGUGGAAUGGCCGUCGCUCAACGGAUAAAAGGUACCUCGGGGAUAACAGGCUGAUCUUGCCCAAGAGUCCAUAUCGACGGCAUGGUUUGGCACCUCGAUGUCGGCUCGUCGCAUCCUGGGGCUGGAGUAGGUCCCAAGGGUUGGGCUGUUCGCCCAUUAAAGCGGUACGCGAGCUGGGUUUAGAACGUCGUGAGACAGUUCGGUCCCUAUCCGCUGCGCGCGCAGGAAAUUUGAGAAGGGCUGUCCUUAGUACGAGAGGACCGGGACGGACGAACCUCUGGUGUGUCAGUUGUACUGCCAAGUGCACCGCUGAUUAGCUACGUUCGGAUGGGAUAACCGCUGAAAGCAUCUAAGCGGGAAGCCUGCUUCGAGAUGAGAUUUCCAUACACAUUUGUGUGAGAGGCCCCCAGCCAGACCACUGGGUUGAUAGGCCGGACGUGGAAGCAAGGACUAACGACUUGUGAAGCUGACCGGUACUAAUAAGCCGAUAACUUACACCAC